GGUCUGUCUGAGAGGAGAAAGGCACUACAGAGGGACCUGGAUAGACUGGAUCGAUGGGCCAAGGCAAACUGUAUGAGUUUCAAUAGGGCCAAGUAUCAGGUUCUCCAUUUUGGUCACAACAAUCCCAGGCAACACUGCAGGCCUGGGGAGGAGUAGCUGGAAAGUUGCCCGAUGGAAUGGGGCCUUGGUGUCCUGAUGUACAGUCAGCUGAAUAUGAGCCAGCAGUGUGCCCAGGUGGUCAAGGUGGCCAAUGGCAUUCUGGCUUGUAUCAGGGAUGGUGUGGUGAGCGGGACUUGGGAAGUAAUCCUGCCCCUGUACUCGGCACUGGUGAGGCCUCACCUUGAGUACUGUGUUUAGUUUUGGGCACCUCAGUACAGAAAGGACAUGGAGGUGUUGGAGCAGGUCCAAAGAAGGGCCACAAGGCUUGUGAAGGGUUUGGACAAUAUGCUCUAUGAGGACAGACUGAGGGAGCUGGGGCUGUUUAGUGUGGGGAAGAGGAGGCUGAGGGGAGACCUUAUUGCUCUCUUCCAAUAUCAUAGAAUCACAGAAUCACAGAAUGGCCUGGGUUGAAAAGGACCACAAUGAUCAUCGAGUUUCACCCCCCCCCCUGCUAUAUGCUAUAUAGGGUUGCCAACCACUAGACCAGGAUGCCCAGAGACAUAUCCAGACUGGCCUUGAAUGCAUCCAGGGAUUGGGCAUCCACAGCCUUCUUGGGCAACGUGUUCCAGUGCGUCACCAUCCUCUGGGUGAAAAAUUUCCUUCUCAUCUAACCUAAACCUCCCCUGCCUCUGUUUAAAACCAUUCACCCUUGUCCUAUCACUAUGCAACCUCGUAAAUGACUGUUCCCCCUCCUGUUUAUACACUCUUCACUCAUUCAUCGUUCAUCUCUAGGCAGAGCUCAGUACAUUCCAGUUGCAUCCACACAUAAAGAGCAAUUCCACCGCUUUACCUUUCUGGCCUGUCUUCCUUAAAAUGUACAUCUCCAUCUGUGACAGCAUUCCAGACAUGCAAGCUCAUCCUACGUAUCUCUGUGACUGCAAUAAUAUGACCCCAAGACCAUUCACAGAUCUCUAAUUCUUCCUGCUUAUUCCCCA
ensembl:lncRNA